UUCCUUAUCUUUUAUUUGCAUCUUGAAUAAUUGCUCCACUAUAUCUUGUUUUUUCUUAUGCUUUUCUUCAUAUGCUUGUAAGGAUCCCAUUAAUUGACCAAUUUACAUCUCCUCCAAAUUUUUAGUUUCUUCAAUUGUUAUGACAAUAUACUCGAAUUUGGAAGUUAAUGACCGGAGUAUCUUCUCAAUAAUUCUAACAUCUUCCAAUUUUU
rnacentral:lncRNA from 1 species